GGAAUACAGUCACUCGAGUAUCAUCAGAAAAAAGAUGUAAAAGGAUACAAUCACUGAACAAUCAGCCUCCUGUGUCAUAACUGCCAGAAAAGGUCAUGCAGUCAUAGAAUCAUUUGGAUUGGAAAACCCUCUAAGAUCAUCAGGUUCAACCUCAACCCAGCACUGCAAAACCCACCACAGAACCAUUUCCCUUAGCUCCACAUCUACAUGUCUUUUAAAUCCUCCCAGGAAUGGUGACCCCAUCACUGCCCUGGGAAGCCUGUUCCAACACUUGACAACCCCUUUUGUGCCAAAGAAAUUUCUCCCAGUUCCAAAUUAAACCCUCUCUAGCACA